rnacentral:misc_RNA from 1 species
GCCGGCGAACAAAGUAGGAAGUGAGAGGUCGAGUAAAUGCCAAGCAUUGGAGCACUGUGUUAGCAUAACAACAAUUCCCACAAUUUCUGAGCCCAAAUGGGCUUAGUUCUUCAUCACAAGAGUAAAGUUUCACGAACAGUUCAUAUGAAAAGAUUCAGAAUCUCAUAACUGUGGGAUUGCUUCACUCUAAACUGCUGAACUUUUC